ensembl:lncRNA
UGCGUGUGAACUAUAAAAGGCAGGAUCGCGCGUUUGUUCUUCCCAGUUCCGUGUUUCUUGUGAAGGGUAAGCACUUUGUGGUUUUUAUUUAUUUCUUUCUACUAGAAAAGUUUUUUAAGUCUCGUUCUGUAGUGUUACACAGUGCUAAAGUUGUACGAAUAAAACUAAAAUUAAAAUAACUAAAAUUAAGGAUUUUCGUGUAGUUCCGCGCUGACCACGUGGCUCGUUUCCUGUGCACCCGGGAAAGUUCUAGAGACAAAGAAACCUUGACUGGUUCUGGUUUACUAUUCUAUUAUACUAGCCUAUUUAGAGCAUAUGGUUGUUACUAAGAUGGAUGCACACAAGUUAAUGUUAUUCAAUUGUUUCAACGUUGCACAUGGUAAUUAAGCAGUAGGUUUUUUCCAGUGGCUACACUAUCUUAGCAGCUGUAUUAUGAAUUUCACUCUAUAUCUGUUUGUUUUACAGUAUGUGGGCUGUUGGACCAUGGAGGUUUCCUACAGUGCUUCCUCAGAUUUUGGUGAGUUUAGAUUUCCUCUAGACUUUGCUUCAACACUUUUGUUAGCAAUGAUGACUGAUCUUUUUUCCCCAGCAGAUCGACACUGUUGACCUUUUUCUUAAAAAAAUAAGCCAAAUGAUCUGAGCAACCAUAUAGUUGUGCCAAAAUUUGACGUUCGUGUUUUGAAAAGUCAUUGACGUUUACUACUCCCUAUCCCACAGAUCAUACUGGAGCCAAAUGGAUGACCUUAAAUUCAUCAGACUUCGUUUCAUAAGUCUUUAACUCCCCAAAACAGGAGAAUUCUGUAAUUCAAGAGGACCACACAAUGAGAGACCCUUGACGAAUGGCCACAUGUGAAGGCGUUUGAGCGACCUGUGUUCCUGAAUGCCCUUCAGUGCCAAGCCCACGUGGAGCAGUGGAUGACAUACACGAGGGGUUUUCUCAAAGCAGACUAGUGUUUACCAGCCAUAGGAGAGGAAAUACCUUUUUAAAGUUUUAGAGUAUUAAAGUUGCUAUUAUUUUGACCUACUAGUGUUCCAACAUGCUUUUUGAGGCAUUCAAGUUUGUUCAACUUUAAUUUCUCAGAAUGCUUUCACUAAUUAUUGCUUGUAACUUGUUGGUUCUAUGCUUGUGUAAAUGGUCUUUCAGCAGGCAGUUACCUCUUUUACUGUUUCAAUAAAACUAGUUAAUGACUUUGCAUUUAUGAAAACUGUGUGUGGGGGGCUUUUUUUGUGUGUGACCUUUUUAUAGAGGUCAAAUAAUGUAAAUCAAGCUAAGCUUUCAGUGGUGUGAAAUUUGUGUGGGGGUCAUGCAAAUGUUAAAUUGUAUGAUUAAUGUAGGUUGUGUCUAAAAUGCAGGAACUUAGAGGUCAUUAUUUUUAGGUCCUAUCAAGAUAAUGGUGCUCUUAUGCAUUUAACACCAUAAUUAAAUACUAUACUGCACACGGUUUUAAAGCAUUCUUCCAUGUUAACCAAGCAGUAGCUCUUUACAUGUUUCUUCUGUUAUAUGAAUGGUCACAAAGCCUGCUUCUCCAAGGUUUUAAAUUAGUGAAUUGUACAUCCACUAAAAUUGAAAUAACUGACAUUUGUAUAGGGCACUAAGAAAUGUGUUCUGUCCCCAUUUGAUUCACAGACAGAAAAGGCAAUAUCAAUCUUUUGUACAAAAUAUACAGACGUCUUAAGACUUCAAGACAUCCCACACUAAAAAAAAAAACUCAUUCCGAUAAAUCCACCCAAUGCUGCAACAAUUCUCUCUUUUGUGUCUGCAGUGAUGUAACCGCAAUCUAUGAUCCAAAUAAC